GCAGAUAUGGCCGAGUGGUCUAAGGCGGUGGUCUUAAGUUCAUCAAACUUCUUCACCAUUAUCGAAAGAUGCGUGGGUUCGAACCCCACUGUCUGCA